rnacentral:rRNA from 1 species
GUCUUACAGCCGCCGCGGUAAUACAUGCAAGCCGAGCGGUAGAGUCUCUUCGGAGACUUGAGAGCGGCGUACGGGUGCGGAACACGUGUGCAACCUGCCUUUAUCAGGGGGAUAGCCUUUCGAAAGGAAGAUUAAUACCCCAUAACAUAAAAAUUGGCAUCAAUUUAUAUUAAAAGCUUCGGCGGAUAAAGAUGGGCACGCGCAGGAUUAGAUAGUUGGUGAGGUAACGGCUCACCAAGUCCACGAUCCUUAGGGGGCCUGAGAGGGUGAUCCCCCACACUGGUACUGAGACACGGACCAGACUCCUACGGGAGGCAGCAGUGAGGAAUAUUGGACAAUGGGUGAAAGCCUGAUCCAGCCAUCCCGCGUGAAGGACGAAGGACCUAUGGUUUGUAAACUUCUUUUAUCGGAGAAUAAACCUGCUUACGUGUAAGCAGCUGAAGGUAUCCGAGGAAUAAGCACCGGCUAACUCCGUGCCAGCAGCCGCGGUAACAC